UACGAAGGGAGCUAGCGUUGUUCGGAAUCACUGGGCGUAAAGCGCACGUAGGCGGAUGUGUAAGUCAGGGGUGAAAUCCCGGGGCUCAACCUCGGAACUGCCUUUGAUACUGCAAGUCUCGAGUCCGAUAGAGGUGAGUGGAAUUCCUAGUGUAGAGGUGAAAUUCGUAGAUAUUAGGAAGAACACCAGUGGCGAAGGCGGCUCACUGGAUCGGUACUGACGCUGAGGUGCGAAAGCGUGGGGAGCAAACAGG
rnacentral:rRNA from 1 species